CAGAGACCAGAUCUUUUUGGUUGUGCUUUGGCUCAUGUUGGUGUGAUGGACAUGCUGCGGUUUCACAAGUUUACUAUAGGUCAUGCGUGGACUUCUGAUUAUGGCUGUUCGGACAAGGAGGAAGAGUUCCAUUGGCUUAUUAAGUACUCACCACUGCACAACGUGCGAAGACCAUGGGAACAACAUCCUGAUCAACCUUGUCAGUACCCAUCCACCAUGCUGCUUACUGCUGAUCAUGAUGAUCGAGUUGUACC
rnacentral:misc_RNA from 1 species